ensembl:ncRNA T27E4.16 ncRNA
CUGACCCUUGAAUGAAUGAAAAAAUGGAAAAAAGUAAAACCUAUUAUUGAGGCUACAAGGCAAACCGCAAAAAGAAGAAUAGUCUGUGUGGUUUCGCUCUCAUCUUUUGUCUUCUUCGACUUCUUCUUCUUUUUUUCCAU